rnacentral:rRNA from 1 species
CGUAGGAGGCGAGCGUUAUCCGGAUUUACUGGGUGUAAAGCGCGUGCAGGCGGUUCGGUAAGUUGGGUGUGAAAGCUCCUGGCUCAACUGGGAGAGGUCGCUCAAAACUGGCGAACUGGAGAGUGGUAGGGGAAGGUGGAAUUCCGGGUGUAGUGGUGAAAUGCGUAGAUAUCCGGAGGAACACCAGUGGCGAAAGCGGCCUUCUGGACCAUUUCUGACGCUCAGACGCGAAAGCUAGGGUAGCAAACGGGAUUAGAGACCCCGGUAGUCCUAGCCGUAAACGAUGUGAACUUGGCGCUGGCUGGGUCAAACCGAUCAGUGCCGUAGCAAACGCGAUAAGUUCACCACCUGGGGGACUACGGCCGCAAGGUUA